GCGAUGCCGCGUGAGUGAAGAAGGCCUUUGGGUUGUAAAGCUCUUUCNUCGGGGAAGAAAAUGACUGUACCCGAAUAAGAAGGUCCGGCUAACUUCGUGCCAGCAGCCGCGGUAAUACGAAGGGACCUAGCGUAGUUCGGAAUUACUGGGCUUAAAGAGUUCGUAGGUGGUUGAAAUAGUUGGUGGUGAAAUCCCAGAGCUUAACUCUGGAACUGCCAUCAAAACUUUUCAGCUAGAGUAUGAUAGAGGAAAGCAGAAUUUCUAGUGUAGAGGUGAAAUUCGUAGAUAUUAGAAAGAAUACCAAUUGCGAAGGCAGCUUUCUGGAUCAUUACUGACACUGAGGAACGAAAGCAUGGGUAGCGAAGAGGAUUAGAUACCCUCGUAGUCCAUGCCGUAAACGAUGUGUGUUAGACGUUGGAAAUUUAUUUUCAGUGUCGCAGCGAAAGCGAUAAACACACCGCCUGGGGAGUACGACCGCAAGGUUAAAACUCAAAUGAAUUGACGGGGACCCGCACAAGUAGUGGAGCAUGUGGUUUAAUUCGAAGAUACGCGCAGAACCUUACCAACACUUGACAUGUUCGUCGCGACUUUAAGAGAUUAAAGUUUUCGGUUCGGCCGGACGAAACACAGGUGCUGCAUGGCUGUCGUCAGCUCGUGUCGUGAGAUGUUGGGUUAAGUCCCGCAACGAGCGCAACCCUCACUUUUA
rnacentral:rRNA from 1 species